UGAGGAAUAUUGGUCAAUGGGCGCAAGCCUGAACCAGCCAUGCCGCGUGAAGGAUGAAGGUCCUAAGGAUUGUAAACUUCUUUUGUACGGGGGUAAAUUUAGAUACGUGUAUCUAAUUGAAAGUACUGUACGAAUAAGCAACGGCUAACUCCGUGCCAGCAGCCGCGGUAAUACGGAGGUUGCAAGCGUUAUCCGGAUUUAUUGGGUUUAAAGGGUGCGUAGGCGGGACUUUAAGUCAGCGGUGAAAGACUGUCGCUUAACGAUAGCAUUGCCAUUGAUACUGAAGUUCUUGAGUACAUUUGAGGUGGGCGGAAUGAGUAGUGUAGCGGUGAAAUGCUUAGAUAUUACUCAGAACACCAAUUGCGAAGGCAGCUCACUAAACUGUAACUGACGCUGAGGCACGAAAGCGUGGGGAUCAAACAGG
rnacentral:rRNA from 1 species